rnacentral:rRNA from 1 species
AGAGUUUGAUCCUGGCUCAGGAUGAACGCUAGCUACAGGCUUAACACAUGCAAGUCGAGGGGAAACGACAUCGAAAGCUUGCUUUUGAUGGGCGUCGACCGGCGUACGGGUGAGUAACGCGUAUCCAACCUGCCCACCACUUGGGGAUAACCUUGCGAAAGUAAGACUAAUACCCAAUGAUAUCUCUAGAAGACAUCUGAAAGAGAUUAAAAGAUUUAUCGGUGAUGGAUGGGGAUGCGUCUGAUUAGCUUGUUGGCGGGGUAACGGCCCACCAAGGCAACGAUCAGUAGGGGUUCUGAGAGGAUGAACGGCCACCACUGGAACUGAGACACGGUCUAGACUCCUACGGGAGGCAGCA